ensembl:lncRNA
UGACCCGGAAGUACUAAUUCUACGUGCCAUGAAGAAGUAGAAGAGCCCGUCGCAACCAAUUCAAAUAUUGGAAAGCUACCGUGCCUUUGUUUGUGAACCGCACUCUUGCUGCCACAUUACGCAAGAAGCCGUGUACAAGAAAACAACCAUUUCAUCGACUCAGCUGAUUAGGUAGGCCUUAGUUAUUUCUGGCAUGCGGAGUGUUGUUCUAGUGAUAUGGUUGUUCAUCCUAAAGUCAGUUAUGUUGGCUAACGUUGGCUGUGUCUUCGUUUUGUGCAGUUUAUACAGUGGGUUAUGAUAACAGCACUGAUGCACUGAAUUCUGCUGCUAGCAAAAUUCUGUUUUCACUACAGCCUGCACACAGCAGCGUUCAGUGAGCAACGAUAGUCGCUAGCAGAACGGAACUCCUGCACAUGUUGCGGUCUUAAACUGAAUGACCCGGAAGUACUAAUUCUACGUGCCAUGAAGAAGUAGAAGAGCCCGUCGUCGCAACCAUGUCUAUAUAUACUGUAUAUAUGUCUAUGGUCGCAACCAAUUCAAAUAUUGGAAAGCUACCGUGCCUUUGUUUGUGAACCGCACGCUUUCUGCCACAUUACGCAAGAAGCCGUGUACAAGAAAACAACCAUUAUUUGAAUCUGGAUUCCCACAGCAGGGUUCCCGCGGGUCCUUAAAAAGUCUUAAAAUGUCUUAAAUUAAAAUUCGGGGCAGGCCCCGGAAAAGGUCCCUGGAGGAAGAAGCAGACAGCCCCCCGAGAAAGAGAGGCCGACCCCGGAGCUCUGGCUCUGCUGUCGCCAAGAAGAAGCUGGAAAUGGAGAAUGGUGCUACGCCGAAGAAAAGGGGCCGGCCGAGGGGCUCUCUAGGCAAGAAGAAAAGGCAUUGGAAGGCAACGAUUCCAGAACCUAAACCGCUCUACGACGGCCCACCACGCAAGAGGGGUCGACCCUCAAAAGUCAAACCAACUGACCUCCCCUCCAGUAGUGAAAAAGCAGAGCAGCCGCAGGAGGAGCAGCCGCAGGAGGAGCAGCCGCAGGAGGAGCAGCCGCAGGAGGAGCAGCCGCUGGAGGAGCAGCCGCUGGAGGAGCAGCCGCAGGAGAAGCAGCAACCGCAGGAGGAGCAGCAACCACCGCAGGAGCAGCCGCACACAGGCAGCAUCAGCAGCCAAUGGGAACACACAACCAGCCUCUCUGGAGGAGGGGCAUGACCGCAUCCUGGUUCCUGUGGAGGAUGAGGAUGAACUUCUGGGUGGAGAUGAGGGUGAUGCCGCAGCUGUUGAGGAGAAGGCAGUCGGCAAAGGCAGCUCCAGUGGGAAGAAAACCCCCGUUGCUAAGCGGGGUGGCUCGUCGAGGAGGUUGAGAGCAGUAUGAGCUGCCAGGGUUAAAAGAAAAAGAGGCCUAGAGGAGUUGACUUUGCCAACCUUUUAUUUUUUUAAUGAGUAUACAGGGUUUUUCCUACAUAGAGAAAAUUUGGGCGCGCCGACAAAUCCGCUAACACAAGGGGGCUAACCAAGGCAUGACACACGGACUGAAAACUACACUGCUAAUAUGACUUCCGGAUAAAAUGAGAGAAUGUGCAAGAAUUAAGUGUAACUAGGAAAAUAAAAACAGUAGGCUAUUGAUAUAUAAAAAGGCAGACCUUUGUGGCAGUUAAUUGAUCAGAUUGGUAUUGUUCAUUGCAUUUGGAAUAUUUCAUGUGGGUUUUUUCUGAACAGGAACCAUUAUUUAACUUUGUAGGCAAAAGAUGUUGUGGUCAAAUGAUGGGGUCAAUGAAGUGGUCAACUGAUGCAACUCUUUUGCACUACCUCAGGAAGGGAUCCUGAGUCCAUAUACCAAGUUUGGUGUCAUCAAAGAGUUGCUUAGAUAUAAUCUUUCUGUCAGCAUCAUUAAUUGCAAAAGAAAGACAAUGGAGGGAUCUACAGAUAAAUUACCUAUACACUCUAAAAAAUGCUAGGCUGUUUUUUCAACCCAAAUGCUGAGUUAAGGCUUUGGGUCAUUUUGUUGGGUUAUUUUAACUCAUUCUGGGUUGUUUUCUGUAGCCCAGCCACUGGGUUCGAGGUUAAGGACAGUGCCCCUCCUCUCCUCCACCAGAUGUCACAUAAUUUACCUAGCGGCUGGAUCACUUUAACUCAGUUGUUCAUUAUUUGAGCUGUAACAAGUUAAAAAAACAGUUGUUACUCUUCAAUUCCGUAUAUUUUGAUUUACAGGUCUAACAUUACACCAAAACCAGAUGGAACUGGGAUUACCCCUCAUGAUGGAAAGUAUCCUAACACUUGCUUUUUAAAACUACCGCUGUUGUAAAAUAAAAAUCUACUAUC